rnacentral:rRNA from 1 species
ANNNNUUNNNNCGGGAGUACUAUGAAUUUGGAGAUUUAAAACUCAAAGAACUUGGCGGUGUUUUACACCACUUAGGGGAACCUGUCUCGUAAUCNACACUCCACGUUGUACCUGACCUUCUUUUGUUUUCAUUUUGUAUACCGGUGUCCUCGGGUAACUUUUUANAAUGUAAAAGUUGGCUGGGUAAAUAAGAUAAUUUAGUACCUCAAAUCAGGGUGCNNCUAAUAAAGNGNNGAGGAUGGGUUACAGUUGUAUAUUUACAAUUACACGAUAGUUGCNUGUAANUGGACUAUGAAGGCGGACUUAAAAGUAAAUUGUGGUAUAAAGGAAAUUUGAAGGAGGCUCUGAAACGUGU